UACGUAGGGUGCGAGCGUUAUCCGGAGUUAUUGGGCGUAAAGCGUUUCGUCGGCGGACGAGUAAGUGUUGUAUCUAAGCCCAGGGCUCAACCCUGGAAAGGUGCGACAUACUGCUCGCCUUGAGGAUGUUAGAGGUAGCUAGAAUAUUCGGUGGAGGGGUGAAAUCCGUAGAUAUCGAAUAGAAUGCCAAUGGUGAAGACAGGCUACUGGGACAUAUCUGACGCUCAUGAACGAAAGCUUGGGUAGCAAAGCGG
rnacentral:misc_RNA from 1 species